GUGCACCCCAGCGGCUCCUCCACACGGAGAGAUGGUGUCAGUCAAAGGCCGUCUAGAUGACGAGUUUAUGAAAUUGUUCCUGGCCCGUGCCGGGCACGACCUUGCAGAGAGCCCAGAAGAUGAAACCCCAGCCCUGCCAGGAGCUCACCUGCUAAUUAGGAGGACAACGAAUCACCUCACCUCCCUAGACUUUGCUUCUCCUUUAUUCAGUGAGGGAUUGGACUAGCUGGUCCUUGAGGACUUUUCAGAAAGUCUGGUUCUGGGAGAUGACCAAUGGGAUCAUCUUAUGCUAUGAGCUUUCCUGGAAUGACAGGUAAUGGAGAGUGAGGAGAUUUUACCUGAUAUGGUCCUGUUUGCACCAUCAGCCAGCAACCUUUCUGGGAAGCGUGCUUAUUAUGUACCAACAUAAAAGCUUGAAUAUAAGGUAUGCAGUCCCAAUUUCCUGAUCUCAGAUUGAAAUGUUCAAGCUGUAUAACAUUAAAUUCAAAGAACCA
rnacentral:lncRNA from 1 species